UUGUGCCUACGGGGCUCAGCAUUAUUUCCUAUUUCUCACUUUUUGAAACCCUGAAGCAGCAACGCCGCGUGGAGGAUGAAGGUUUUCGGAUUGUAAACUCCUUUUGUUAGAGAAGAUAAUGACGGUAUCUAACGAAUAAGCACCGGCUAACUCCGUGCCAGCAGCCGCGGUAAUACGGAGGGUGCAAGCGUUACUCGGAAUCACUGGGCGUAAAGAGCGCGUAGGCGGGAUAGCAAGUCAGAUGUGAAAUCCUAUGGCUUAACCAUAGAACUGCAUUUGAAACUGUUAUUCUAGAGUAUGGGAGG
rnacentral:rRNA from 1 species